CAGCUCGUCGAGACAGUGCAAACAAACAUUUACGGAAACGAAGCUACUGUUACAUCGGAUGCAAACAAAUCGCCGUGUAAACGAAGCAACCACCCUGUACAAGAGAAGUAGAUGUUUGCGAGGAUUUCGUCAAGCGACGGUGGAACGCAAGGGAGAGUGAAAGAAGCGACCAGCCAGAGAAAGGAUGAACGCUUGCGGGCAUAGAAUCUGAAAAGGAGCGAAAGCCGAGAGGACACAGAGGCCGAGGACUCGAGGUUUCCUCGCAGAAGAGGAAAGAAGAAGGAACAAAUGACUUGAACUCGAGCAGCUGGGCGGUUAAGGU